rnacentral:rRNA from 1 species
CGGAGGAUCCAAGCGUUAUCCGGAAUCAUUGGGUUUAAAGGGUCCGUAGGCGGUUUAGUAAGUCAGUGGUGAAAGCCCAUCGCUCAACGGUGGAACGGCCAUUGAUACUGCUAAACUUGAAUUAUUAGGAAGUAACUAGAAUAUGUAGUGUAGCGGUGAAAUGCUUAGAGAUUACAUGGAAUACCAAUUGCGAAGGCAGGUUACUACUAAUGGAUUGACGCUGAUGGACGAAAGCGUGGGUAGCGAACAGGAUUAGAUACCCUGGUAGUCCACGCCGUAAACGAUGGAUACUAGCUGUUGGGAGCAAUCUCAGUGGCUAAGCGAAAGUGAUAAGUAUCCCACCUGGGGAGUACGUUCGCAAGAAUG